UCAUACCAUGCUGAAUAUACCGGUUCUCGUUAGAUCACUGAAGUUAAGCAUCAUUGGGCGCGGUCAGUACUUGGGUGGGUGACCACCUGGGAACACCGCGUGCCGUU
rnacentral:rRNA from 1 species